CCAAUAGCGUAUAUUAAAGUUGUUGCAGUUAAAAAGCUCGUAGUUGAAUUUCGGGAUCAAUAUGCCGGUCAUGCCUUGGUAUGCACUGGUAUCUUUGAUUUCUCCCUUCUGACGAACUUUGAUGUCAUUAAUUUGGUGUCAUAGGGAAUCAGGACUGUUACUUUGAAAAAAUUAGAGUGUUUAAAGCAAGCCCACGCUUGAAUACAUUAGCAUGGAAUAAUGAAAUAGGACGUUUGAUUCUAUUUUGUUGGUUUCUAGGAUCGACGUAAUGAUUAAUAGGGAUAGUUGGGGGCAUUAGUAUUCAAUUGUCAGAGGUGAAAUUCUUGGAUUUAUUGAAGACUAACUACUGCGAAAGCAUUUGCCAAGGAUGUUUUCAUUAAUCAAGAACGAAAGUUAGGGGAUCGAAGACGAUCAGAUACCGUCGUAGUCUUAACCAUAAACUAUGCCGACUAGGGCUCGGAUGAUGUUAAUUUUUUAAUGACUCAUUCGGCGCCUUACG
rnacentral:rRNA from 1 species